GGAUACAUCUGCAUUCACUUGAACAGAGUGGAUUUCAUUGUAGGACAGAUUCAGGAAUCACGCCCAAGACAAGAAAUGCACUACACAGUAAAACAUUGGGCUAGAUCUGUUUUGGAGUAAAUGAGAAUGCAGGGGCACUGACAAAAGAAAUCCAUCAAAAGAAUCACUGCAAAAAAUGUCUGCAUCUUCUCCUCCUCCGGAUGUGAGUGAACUACAACAUUCAGCUUUACACAUGUGCACCUCCAUCCCAGCUGGGUACCUUUGUCCAAAUAUGAGUGGCGUGGCAUCAAAGAUCAGAUCGGCUGAAAUCUUCUGCGGAAUGAAGUCUUCUCUCACGUUUGGAUCAUGUAUAUGUUUAGUGACCCCGCAGCUGCUGUAAGGGCCCAACUGAACUUAGGACAGACAUUCAAAGUUCACCAGGCUAACUUCUUGCAGGCAGCUGUUUCACAGAAUCACAGAAUGGUUGAGGUUGGAAGGGACCUCUGGAGAUCAUCUAGUCCAACCCCCCUGCUCAAGCAGGGUCACCUGGAGGACAUUGACAGGAUCGCGUCCAGGCGAGUUUUGAAUAUCUCCAGAGAAGGAGACUCCACAACCUCUCUGGGCAACCUGUUCCAGUGCUCUGUCACCCUCACAGUGAAGAAGUUUUUCCUCAUGUUCACAUGGAAUUGUCUGUGUUUCAGUUUGUGCCCGUUGCCUCUUGUCCUUGUAAUGGCACUUUUGACAUAAACAAUAGAGCUUCCUUGCAAAGUGGGGGAACUGAGAAGUAGUGGUUUGAUAGGAAAUGAAGAGUAGGGCUGGAAUAAAUGUUUGCCAGAGGACA
rnacentral:lncRNA from 1 species